GGGAGCAUAACACAUUUGCACAUAUUUCUUCACAUGUUACACUUAAGGGGGACUUAUAUUUUUCAUGUGAAUAUAUAUGAUAGGGGGAGCAUCACUAUGUUAAGUCCCUGGCAAGUGUACCAGAUCGUUAUCAAGUAAUAUAAACGAGUAAGUUCGAGUAUCGUUUUCCCAAAGGACUCUUAGGCCUUAACUUUCAUGUAACCUAAUCUUGUAAGAUUUGAGAAAAGAAUAAUAUUGGUGGUUGUAUGGAAAGAACAAAAAUAAACAUGCAAUGCAAUUGAUUCAAUUGGUUUUGAGAACUAUGGAUGAAUGGUGUUGUUGGGGUUUACAAUUUCAUCUUAUCCACUCUCAUAUAUCUACUCUUCUUAUUUAAUUCACUUGUUUAUCUAAUUGUCAUGCAAACUUUCUUAAUUACCCUUAGUCCAAUUCCUUGGUGAAAAGAGCCUAUUACUAAUUACCGGCUUACUAUCCCUAGCCUCCCCUAGUAACUAAUAAUGCAGUGCGUUCUGAAGCAAAUGCAAUUGACCGUCCUAUCCCUAUCCCUAGGCGAUAGCACAUAAUCAAGGAAUUUCCCACCAGUUCAUGACAUUACCGUACGUCCCCAUAUCGAUAAAGAGAAACAACAUUUAUUGAACGAGUUAAACAAUAAAAGCAUUGAGCACAGAUGAGAACCCAACAAUUGAUAAGCAAGUAUAUGACAAGCAUAUGAAAAUAAAUAAGAAUUUCAAUAUAUGAGAGUUUCAAAAGAUUACAUUGUUCCCCAACAACAAAGGGUUUAGUUCACCAUUGACAUGGUGAA
rnacentral:lncRNA from 1 species